rnacentral:rRNA from 1 species
UUCGCAAUGCCCGAAAGGGUGACGAAGCGACGCCGCGUGGGUGAGGAAGGCCUUCGGGUUGUAAAGCCCUGUCAGGAGUUAAGAAAUGUAGACUCGCUAAUAUCGGGUCUAUUUGACAAAGGCUCCAGAGGAAGCCACGGCUAACUCUGUGCCAGCAGCCGCGGUAAUACAGAGGUGGCAAGCGUUGUUCGGAAUUAUUGGGCGUAAAGAGCACGUAGGUGGGUUUGUAAGUCAGACGUGAAAGCCUUCUGUUCAACGGAAGAAUUGCAUCUGAAACUACAAGCCUUGAGUGUAGGAGGGGAGAAUGGAACUUCUGGUGGAGCGGUGAAAUGCGUAGAUAUCAGAAGGAACGCCGGCGGCGAAAGCGAUUCUCUGGCCUAUUACUGACACUCAGUGUGCGAAUGCUAGGGGAGCAAACGGGAUUAGAUACCCCGGUAGUCCUAGCCGUAAACGAUGGGCACUAAGUAGAGGGGUUUU